GUAUAACUACUAGAAUCGCAACCAGAUCUUAAAAGCCUAAGUAUUGUGUCCUUGUUAGAAGAUACAAAGACAAAGACUCGUACGGACUUCGGCUACACCAUCAAAGCUUUGAGAAGCAAGAAGAAGCUUGGUUAGUGUUUUGUAGUGAAAUAUGACUUGAUUUUAUGUUUAUGAUUGAGUAUAAGAACAUAAACCGUAACCGGAUCUUAAAAGCCUAAGUAGUGUUGCCUUGUUAAUAGAUACAAAGACAACGACGCAUACUGACUUCAGCUACACCAUCAAAGCUUUGAGAAGCAAGAAGAGGCUUGGUUAAUGUUUUGGAGUCAAAUAUGACUAGAUGUCAUGUGUAUGAGUGAGUAUAACAACUAGCACCGCAAACAUAUCUUAAAAGCCUAAGUAUUGUAUCCUUGUUGGAAGAUACAAAGACCAAGACUCAUACGGACUUCCGCUACACAAUCAAAGCUUCGAGAAUCAAGAAGAAGCUUGGUUAGUGUUUUGGAGUAGAGUAUG
rnacentral:sRNA from 1 species